UCGCCAGACUCCUACGGGAGGCAGCAGUGGGGAAUAUUGCACAAUGGGGGGAACCCUGAUGCAGCGACGCCGCGUGGGUGAAGGAGUAUUUCGGUAUGUAAAGCCCUAUCGGCAGGGAAGAAGCAAGACGGUACCUGACUAAGAAGCCCCGGCUAACUACGUGCCAGCAGCCGCGGUAAUACGUAGGGGGCGAGCGUUAUCCGGAUUCACUGGGUGUAAAGGGAGCGUAGACGGCCAUGCAAGCCAGGGGGGAAAGCCCGGGGCCCAACCCCGGGACUGCCCUUGGAACUGCAUGGCUGGAGUGCGGGAGGGGCAGGCGGAAUUCCUGGUGUAGCGGUGAAAUGCGUAGAUAUCAGGAGGAACACCGGCGGCGAAGGCGGCCUGCUGGACCGCGACUGACGUUGAGGCUCGAAAGCGUGGGGAGCGCACAGGAUUAGAUACCCGAGUA
rnacentral:rRNA from 1 species